UACGUAGGGUGCAAGCGUUGUCCGGAAUUAUUGGGCGUAAAGAGCUCGUAGGCGGUUUGUCACGUCGGUUGUGAAAAUCCGAGGCUCAACCUCGGACCUGCAAUCGAUACGGGCAGGCUAGAGUUUGGUAGGGGAGACUGGAAUUCCUGGUGUAGCGGUGAAAUGCGCAGAUAUCAGGAGGAACACCGGUGGCGAAGGCGGGUCUCUGGGCCAAUACUGACGCUGAGGAGCGAAAGCGUGGGGAGCGAACAGG
rnacentral:rRNA from 1 species